rnacentral:rRNA from 1 species
AGUAUUUUGACUAUACAAAGGUAUUGUAAUAAGAUUUUAAUUGAAUGCUAAAAGAAUGGAAGUUUAGAAAAAGUCUUUUUAAAAAAUAAAAAUUAAAAUUUUUUUAAUUUGUGCAGAAACAAUUAUUUAUAUUAAAGACAAGAAGACCCUAAGAAUUUUCUGGUUCAAUAAUUUAUAUAUUUAAUUUAUUAAACCUUGGUUGGGGCGAUCAAAAAAUAUUAAUAACUUUUUUUCAUUAAAAUGAUCUAUUAUUAGUAAAUUAAUGAAUUAAAUACUCUAGGGAUAACAGCGUAAUAAUUUUUGAUAGAUCUUAUAGACAAAAUAGUUUGCGACCUCGAUGUUGGAUUAGGAUUCUUUUUUGGUGAAGAAACCAAAAAAAGAAGUUUGUUCAACUUUUAAAUUCCU